UUUUUUUUAAUAACCAGGGUAUUCAUCCCCAGUCCUUUUUAUUUUUUAUUUUUAUUUUGAGAUAGGGUCUUGCUAAAUUGCUGAGGCUGGCCUUGAACUUUUCAUCCUCCUGACUCAGUCUCCUGAGUUGCUGGGAUUAUAGGCAUUUGCCACCACACCAUGUAGGUUUUGUUUUGAUGUUCCUUCCCCACCCCAAGACACUCUUAUAACUAAAAUUGGGUCCCUCUGAAAUGAUCACUUUGCAGAUAUGAAUAAAGGGCAAAUUUCUUAAGCAGGCAUUGCUAACAGUAAGCAUCUCAGACCUACUACUGUUAAAACCUUUCUGAUCACUAAUUAGUAAGACUUUCUUUGAGAAAGUCAUAUAGAUUCUUUCUACAAGGAGUAAUUAGGGCAGACCCAAGCAGCUCAUUUUUCCCUAGACCAAUCAGCAAGAAGGAUGUUGAUUUCUGCUGUAAACUCCCAUAUCAGAGUUUCUGUUUGGGAGUAUUUUCCUCUGUCCCGUGCACAUGGAUAUCAGUAGGUUAGUACUCUGUUUUAGAGAUCAGCAUUUGGUCUCUCUUUUAGAGAUCAGCUAGAAACUGAUGAGCAGCAGCCCUGAGGCUCAUUAUAUGACUGAGAGAUUCCUGUGCUCACUUGGGUUCUCAGGUAUACCUCAUGAGAGCUGAAAUGAGUGAAAUGGCAAUCAGCCUCUAGAGUAACACAGGGAAUCACUUCCUCCUGAGGUUGGAGAAAGGGGAAUUCAUUUCUUCUGGAGGAUAGCACUGCUGAAUCUUUUAUAUAGUUUGUAAUCAUGGGUAAAUUUAUCCUGUUAGUCGGCUUUCUGUCAUCUGAGACAUUAUAAUAAAGAUUUAUUUUGGGUCAGUUUUAGCCCAUGUUUGCUUGGCCCUGUUACUUUGGGCCUGUGGUGGCACAGCACAUCAUAGCAGGAAUGUGUGGGAGAGAGGCCUGUUCACCUGGGAAGUAAUAAUAAAACAGGAGGGGCCAGGGUCCCAAUAUCCAUUUUUGGGACACCCCCAAUGAUCUAAUUUCCUUCCAGUAGGCCCCACCUCCUAAAGGUUCCACCACCUCCCAGUAGUGCCACAGGCUGGGGACCAGGUCUUCAACACAUGGGCCUUUUUAGAGGACACUGAAGAACCAAAUCAUCAUUCACUCUCCAACCAUUGUGGACAUCAGCAGACUUCCUUCAAAUUGCAACUCUUAAC
rnacentral:lncRNA from 1 species